AGAGUUUGAUCCUGGCUCAGGAUGAACGCUAGCGGGAGGCCUAACACAUGCAAGCCGAGCGGUAGAAUCUUUUCGGAGAUUUGAGAGCGGCGUACGGGUGAGGAACACGUGUGCAACCUGCCUUUAUCUGGGAGAUAGCCUUUCGAAAGGAAGAUUAAUAUCCCAUAAUAUAUUGAGUGGCAUCACUUAAUAUUGAAAGCUCCGGCGGAUAGAGAUGGGCACGCGCAAGAUUAGAUAGUUGGUGAGGUAACGGCUCACCAAGUCUACGAUCUUUAGGGGGCCUGAGAGGGUGAUCCCCCACACUGGUACUGAGACACGGACCAGACUCCUACGGGAGGCAGCAGUGAGGAAUAUUGGACAAUGGGUGCAAGCCUGAUCCAGCCAUCCCGCGUGAAGGAUUAAGGUCCUAUGGAUUGUAAACUUCUUUUAUACAGGGAUAAACCUCUCCUCGUGAGGAGAGCUGAAGGUACUGUAUGAAUAAGCACCGGCUAACUCCGUGCCAGCAGCCGCGGUAAUACGGAGGGUGCAAGCGUUAUCCGGAUUUAUUGGGUUUAAAGGGUCCGUAGGCGGGUUCGUAAGUCAGUGGUGAAAUCCUACAGCUUAACUGUAGAACUGCCAUUGAUACUGCGAGUCUUGAGUGUAGUUGAGGUAGCUGGAAUGAGUAGUGUAGCGGUGAAAUGCAUAGAUAUUACUCAGAACACCAAUUGCGAAGGCAGGUUACCAAGUUACAACUGACGCUGAUGGACGAAAGCGUGGGGAGCGAACAGGAUUAGAUACCCUGGUAGUCCACGCUGUAAACG
rnacentral:rRNA from 1 species